AAGAUUACCCGUUUAAUGUUUUAUAAAACGGCUAAUUAAACGAUUUAAAUUAAACAACACAAUCUUAUAUUAUAAAACAUAAAAAAAAAAAAAAUUACGCUCCAGCUCUAAACAACGCAAUUAGGGAUUUAUCAGCAGUACCACCGCCGGUGCUACAACACCUCCACCGUCCCGCUUCAACUGCCCGCGAUUGCUGCGACUGCACCGCGACCUUUACCACCAUGCCGAGAGUGCUGCCGCCGACGCACAAUUGCUUCCGCCGACGCACAAUUGCUUCCACCGACGCACGAUCGCUUCCACCGACGCACAUCCGCUUCCACCGUCGCACAUCCGCUUCCAUGGUCGCACAACCGCUUCCGACACGCCACUAACGCUACCAUUACGAAUUCGAGGCAUAAAUUGGAAUUAGUUAUUUUUCGAUAUCAGCGAGGUUAAAACAGUUUUCCAGAAUCAACUCAAGGAUAUCAUGAAUCACUCAAGUCAUCUUUCGAGGUUUUGAAAAAUGUUUCAUACAGGUGAGCUAGCAUUGAUGUAGAACCAUUGUCAAGGAUAAGGCUAUUAAUUGUUAUCAAAGAUAAGGCAGUUAACCCAUUUCGAGUUAUGAAUCGUGGAAAGCGCCAACGCAAAUCUAUCUCACAGGUAGAUGGAGAAUGUAGCUUAUUUUUUUGUAUUUGUCGAAUUUUGCAGACUGCGGUUAAAUGCUUAGGUCAGCUUCAACACGAGAACUUGGUUAAGCUGAUCGAGUAUUGUUCGGAAUCUAAAAACAUAAUGCUUGUUUACGAAUUCAUGCCUAAAGGAAUCUUGGAGAAUCACUUGUUCAAGAGAGGAGUACAGCCGAUGGCGUGGUGUACGAGAAUGCAGAUAGCGAUUGAUUUUGUGAGAGGAUUGACGUUCUUGCAUAGUUUAAAUGCCAACAUAAUUUACCGCGAUUUAAAGGCUUCCAAUAUUCUAAUUGAUUCGAAGUUUCGUGCGAAACUUUCGGAUUUCGGGCUCGCAAGAAAGGCCAUCAUCAUCUCAUUUUCAUAUUCCACUUAAUGGUAAUGCUGAAUUUAUGGAGUCUGAUAGUGACGCAAAUGAGGCUUCAUCAACGCCACCUGGCAAACUUCUCGCUUGAAGAUAACUUUAAACAUCAGUUCUUAAAGAAGUUGAGCGUAAUGUGGAAGAAUUGGAAAUCGGAGGUAAAAACAUCUUAUUAUUCUAUGCAUGAGACGGAUGUGGAUCGAUUGGCUAAUUGUCCUGACCUUGUGGAAAAAGACCAACGACCUACUUUAGUUCAUUAUUGGAGUUCUAGUAGUGUAAAGGAAAUGAGUCUAAAAAAUGCUUCGAACAGAGGUAACCAAAAAGUGCCACAUAGAACUGGAAAAAAAGAGUUAUGCUGUCGUGAGGAAUGAGAUGCAAAUGGAAAACGGUGAGGAUCCUACAGACUAAGACUUUUGGAUGGCGACACAUGUUGGUUUUGCCAAGAGCACAUUGGAUAAGAAGACUUCUAAAUUUAUUGCGUGUUAUUUAUUAUUUAUAUUUUGAUAAUCUUUGUUUUCAAUAACCUUCUAACUAUUUAUAUCAUUUGUAGGGAAAGAUUAAACAAUUAGUCUAGCAAGCCUCAAGUCCAAGAAACUGAUGCGCGAAUUCAACAAUCAGGUGCAAACAAGGUCAAACUUAAAAAGAGAAAACUUUAUGGGAUUGUAAGGAGUAUUUGGAAAAGUUGAUGGUUGAUGUGAAGUUGAAGUAUCACUGCAGACCAUUAAGGAAGACACUAUAUGGUCAUCGGAGCAAGGAUAUGCAUGCCACUAAUCAGCCAAAUGUAAUUAAUUUCAAAGUUAUUUGUUUUUAAUUUGUUGUUUUUGUUAGAAGUAUUAAUACUUCAAGUUCAAGUGUUGUUUUGAAGAUAUAGUUUGUAAAGUUUGGUAUACUUUUGGAAAGCAAGAAUUCAUGUUUUGAAGAUAGAUUUCAUAAAGUUUGUUAAUAUUUGUGUUUGUAUUUGGCAUCUGUUA